rnacentral:rRNA from 1 species
AGAGUUUGAUCCUGGCUCAGGACGAACGCUGGCGGCGUGCUUAACACAUGCAAGUCGAACGGAAAGGCCCUUCGGGGUACUCGAGUGGCGAACGGGUGAGUAACACGUGGGUGAUCUGCCCUGCACUUUGGGAUAAGCCUGGGAAACUGGGUCUAAUACCGAAUAUGACCAUGCACUUCCUGGUGUGUGGUGGAAAGCUUUUGCGGUGUGGGAUGGGCCCGCGGCCUAUCAGCUUGUUGGUGGGGUAAUGGCCUACCAAGGCGACGACGGGUAGCCGGCCUGAGAGGGUGACCGGCCACACUGGGACUGAGAUACGGCCCAGACUCCUACGGGAGGCAGCAGUGGGGAAUAUUGCACAAUGGGCGCAAGCCUGAUGCAGCGACGCCGCGUGAGGGAUGACGGCCUUCGGGUUGUAAACCUCUUUCAGCACAGACGAAGCGCAAGUGACGGUAUGUGCAGAAGAAGGACCGGCCAACUACGUGCCAGCAGCCGCGGUAAUACGUAGGGUCCGAGCGUUGUCCGGAAUUACUGGGCGUAAAGAGCUCGUAGGUGGUUUGUCGCGUUGUUCGUGAAAACUCACAGCUUAACUGUGGGCGUGCGGGCGAUACGGGCAGACUCGAGUACUGCAGGGGAGACUGGAAUUCCUGGUGUAGCGGUGGAAUGCGCAGAUAUCAGGAGGAACACCGGUGGCGAAGGCGGGUCUCUGGGCAGUAACUGACGCUGAGGAGCGAAAGCGUGGGGAGCGAACAGGAUUAGAUACCCUGGUAGUCC